rnacentral:rRNA from 1 species
UCCAGACUCCUACGGGAGGCAGCAGUGGGGGAUAUUGCACAAUGGGCGCAAGCCUGAUGCAGCGACGCCGCGUGAGCGAAGAAGUAUUUCGGUAUGUAAAGCUCUAUCAGCAGGGAAGAAAAUGACGGUACCUGACUAAGAAGCUCCGGCUAAAUACGUGCCAGCAGCCGCGGUAAUACGUAGGUGGCAAGCGUUGUCCGGAUUUACUGGGUGUAAAGGGCGUGCAGCCGGGAAGACAAGUCAGAUGUGAAAUCCCGCGGCUCAACCGCGGAACUGCAUUUGAAACUGUUUUUCUUGAGUACCGGAGAGGUCAUCGGAAUUCCUUGUGUAGCGGUGAAAUGCGUAGAUAUAAGGAAGAACACCAGUGGCGAAGGCGGAUGACUGGACGGCAACUGACGGUGAGGCGCGAAAGCGUGGGGAGCAAACAGGAUUAGAUACCCGGGUA